CUACGGGAGGCAGCAGUGAGGAAUUUUGCGCAAUGGGGGGAACCCUGACGCAGCAACGCCGUGUGAGUGAAGAAGGCCUUUGGGUCGUAAAGCUCUGUCAACUGGGAAGAAGUUACUGUGCUUUAAUAGAGUGCAGUAUUGACGGUACCAGUGGAGGAAGCGUCGGCUAACUCCGUGCCAGCAGCCGCGGUAACACGGGGGACGCAAGCGUUAUUCGGAAUUAUUGGGCGUAAAGGGCGCGUAGGCGGUCUUGUCGGUCAGGUGUGAAAGCCCGGGGCUCAACCCCGGACGGGCACUUGAAACAGCAAGACUUGAGUACGGGAGAGGAAAGCGGAAUUCCUGGUGUAGAGGUGAAAUUCGUAGAUAUCAGGAGGAACACCGAUGGCGAAGGCAGCUUUCUGGACCGAAACUGACGCUGAGGCGCGAAGGCGUGGGUAGCGAACGGGAUUAGAUACCCCGGUAGUC
rnacentral:rRNA from 1 species